AUACUUAUCAACGCAGCCCAUCUCUUGUGCCCUUUGCAUCUCGUUCCACAUUGCCAUUGGCUGUGAAGGUCAUCCCUUUUAAGUGGCACCUCACUUCAGAUGGGAGAAACAUCUGUUCCAGAAUAGAACAUCGGUGGGUGCCCGGCCAGCAGCACUCACUUACACAGAAGGGCAUCAGGCGCUCCACCUACUCUGCCUAGUCCCCCACGGCGACGACGACAGCUGAGAGAGGAAGGAAGCCCCCGCGGCCGCCCCACCCCUGGGCUACUCUGCUCUGCACGGCCUUGGCCCGUCCUGCCGUCCUGCCGUGGUGCCUAAUUAGACCUCAGAUACAUCAGCAAAGACAUGGUGAGAGCGUGAAGACUUUGAAACAAGAAAAUGAAUGAAAUUCCAUCACAAGUAUGUUAAAGGAGCUUUACCGCCUUAGGAAAAAGUUAGUAUUUCAAGAAAGAAGUUCAGUUAACAGUGCCCGGGAGGGGAACCUUUCUUCCUUCAACCUUAGUUUCAGAAAGCACUUGCCCGAGGGGGCCCCUUUGGCCCCAGCACAAUUGGGUGAGGGCCCGACAGGCAGGCAGCCCUAGGCACAGGUCACAGGCCCAGCAGAACCAGAGUCGGCCUGCCCCCAGCCUCCCUUCUCCUCGGCACAGUCUGCCGAUCACCUUGUGAGCAGCCUCUCUUCUCAGCAUCCCCGCC